rnacentral:misc_RNA from 1 species
GAUGAAGAACGUAGCGAAAUGCGAUAAGUAGUGUGAAUUGCAGAAUUCAGUGAAUCAUCGAAUCUUUGAACGCACAUUGCGCCCCUUGGUAUUCCAUGGGGCAUGCCUGUUCGAGCGUCAUUUGUACCUUCAAGCUCUGCUUGGUGUUGGGUGUUUGUCUCGCCUCUGCGUGUAGACUCGCCUCAAAACAAUUGGCAGCCGGCGUAUUGAUUUCGGAGCGCAGUACAUCUCGCGCUUUGCACUCAUAACGACGACGUCCAAAAGUACAUCUUUACACUCUUGACCUCGGAUCAGGUAGGGAUACCCGCUGAACUUAAGCAUAUCAAUAAGCGGAGGA